AAUUCACAAUCUCUCACUUGGCUGCUUCUAGCAAAGGGUGAUGUCUAGAGCAGUGAUUUCCAAAUGGGAGCAAAAGGAUCCAAGGGAAUGCUCAGAAAUAUGCAAUGGGGUACAGAAAGAAGACAUUAUUUAAGAUUUGGUUUACUUAUCUCAAAAAGAAGUGACUAAAAGUUCAAUGGGAGAAAUGAUAGAAGCUAAUUGUGAUAAAACAGAUAAAGUACAUGGCACAAUGAGUGUGAACCCCUGGAGUUUUACAAUCAUUUGAAAUUCAAAGGCAAAUGCUGAGAGCACACCAUCAUGAGAAUUGGCACCAAUGAAAAAGUUUGUCAAAAUCACUCUGGCACUAAACCACUGAAUGUUUUCAACACAAAUGGAAAGCUGACAUCAUUUAUAGACAACUCAUGGACCAACACAAAGGAAAAAAUGUCAGAUCCAGUGAAUUUCUUUUCUUGUAAUUACUGUAUGAUUUCAACAUUGGCGUCUGUAAGAAAUACUAUUUUCCUCUGAAGUGUUUUCUGUAGCAUUAUUUUGUUUACCAUGGGAGGUUUGUCUUCUCCCAUUUUCCUUAGAAGUUGAACACACAUUUUCAAAGCCUGCUAGUGAUUUUGAAUUUCAAAAGCGAUUACAAGCAUGAUUCAUGCAAUAUGACUCAUCCCUCUCAAAUGCUCUAAUUGUAUAAACUAUAUCCUUCAAAGCGUCUUAUGGACACAUUAAAUAUUAGUAAACACAUUUUCAAGUGCCAAAAGGUAUGGUUCCUUCACACUUGCUGAUAAGACUGUAAUUGAUCCUCUAAUUUCCAUGUAUGAUUCAAAAUAAAGCUAAGACUGUGGUAAGUCUCGCAUUUUUAACAUUAAACUUGAACACACCAGUUCUGCCACUGCAGUAGCCACAUCUUGAUUCUUAACAGCAGUCACCUUCACCUCCAUAAUUUCCCUUUUGUUGCUUCAAAUUAUUUGUUGUACUAAGCACACUUUCUCUACCAAUAAAUUCAUGCCUC